AUUGAACGCUGGCGGCAGGCCUAACACAUGCAAGUCGAACGGUAACAGGAAACAGCUUGCUGUUUCGCUGACGAGUGGCGGACGGGUGAGUAAUGUCUGGGAAACUGCCUGAUGGAGGGGGAUAACUACUGGAAACGGUAGCUAAUACCGCAUAACGUCGCAAGACCAAAGAGGGGGACCCUCGGGCCUCUUGCCAUCGGAUGUGCCCAGAUGGGAUUAGCUUGUUGGUGGGGUAACGGCUCACCAAGGCGACGAUCCCUAGCUGGUCUGAGAGGAUGACCAGCCACACUGGAACUGAGACACGGUCCAGACUCCUACGGGAGGCAGCAGUGGGGAAUAUUGCACAAUGGGCGCAAGCCUGAUGCAGCCAUGCCGCGUGUAUGAAGAAGGCCUUCGGGUUGUAAAGUACUUUCAGCGGGGAGGAAGGGAGUAAAAUUAAUACCUUUGCUCAUUGACGUUACCCGCAGAAGAAGCACCGGCUAACUCCGUG
rnacentral:rRNA from 1 species